ACAAAUAUUUCAUGAAACUUUCAGCCCCAUUAAAAAAUACUUCAAGUAAUAUAAAACAGAAAGUUCAUGGACUCAUGGGCCCUCUUACUGUUCCCUACGGAUCCCUACAUGACGUAUGUGAAGAUGCCAGCAAACAGGAUGAUAGAAGUUGCAAAGAAAAUGUUGGAUUAAUUGCCAAUGAGAGAUAUCAGACAACCACGUUAUUUAGCAUUUUGCCAUGGUUUCCACCGAUAUGCCUUAACGUUAAGUUCAGCAUAGUAGAUGAGGCUACCCAAGAAACGCACGUCUGUUUUAGAAUUCCUGUAAAAAUAAUGAAUUGUAACCAACAGACUGAAACCAUUUGUAACUAGUAACUGUAACCAAUUGUAAAUCAUACAAAGAUUUAUGAUUUAUUAUGUUUUUAAAAAAUGAAAUUACUAAAAAUAAAUUAUAAUACUUGUGUUAAUCAAUAUAGUCUUCACUGUAAUUAAAAAUAUUUUCAAUAAACUGUUUUAACAAUAAAAA